GACGAACGCUGGCGGCGUGCUUAACACAUGCAAGUCGAACGGAAAGGCCCUGCUUUUGUGGGGUGCUCGAGUGGCGAACGGGUGAGUAACACGUGAGUAACCUGCCCUUGACUUUGGGAUAACUUCAGGAAACUGGGGCUAAUACCGGAUAGGAGCUCCUGCUGCAUGGUGGGGGUUGGUAAGUUUCGGCGGUUGGGGUUGGACUCGCGGCUUAUCAGCUUGUUGGUGGAGUAGUGGCUUUCCAAGCGUUUGACGGGUAGCCGGCCUGAGAGGUGGACCAGCCACAUUGGGACUGAGAGAGGGCCCAGACUCCUACGUGAGGCAGCAGUGGGGAAUAUGGCACAAUGGGCGGAAGCCUGAUGCAGCGACGCCGCGUGCGGGAUGACGGGCUUCGGGUUGUAAACCGCUUUCGCCUGUGACGAAGCGUGAGUGACGGUAAUGGGUAAAGAAGCACCGGCUAACUACGUG
rnacentral:rRNA from 1 species